rnacentral:rRNA from 1 species
GACGAACGCUGGCGGCGUGCUUAACACAUGCAAGUCGAGCGGAAAGGCCACUUCGGUGGUACUCGAGCGGCGAACGGGUGAGUAACACGUGAGUAAUCUGCCCCUGGCUUUGGGAUAGCCACCGGAAACGGUGAUUAAUACCGAAUAUGACCACUUCUCGCAUGGGAUGGUGGUGGAAAGUUUUUCGGCCAGGGAUGUGCUCGCGGCCUAUCAGCUUGAUGGUGAGGUAAUGGCUCACCAUGGCUUCGACGGGUAACCGGCCUGAGAGGGUGACCGGUCACACUGGGACUGAGACACGGCCCAGACUCCUACGGGAGGCAGCAGUGGGGAAUAUUGGACAAUGGGCGGAAGCCUGAUCCAGCAACGCCGCGUGAGGGAUGACUGCCUUCGGGUUGUAAACCUCUUUCGGUGGGGACGAAGCGCAAGUGACGGUACCCACUAAAGAAGCACCGGCCAACUACGUGCCAGCAGCCGCGGUAAUACGUAGGGUGCGAGCGUUGUCCGGAAUUAUUGGGCGUAAAGGGCUCGUAGGCGGUUUGUCGCGUCGGGAGUGAAAACCAGGUGCUUAACACCUGGCUUGCUUUCGAUACGGGCAGACUAGAGGUAUUCAGGGGAGAACGGAAUUCCUGGUGUAGCGGUGAAAUGCGCAGAUAUCAGGAGGAACACCCGUGGCGAAGGCGGUUCUCUGGGAAUUACCUGACGCUGAGGAGCGAAAGUGUGGGGAGCGAACAGGAUUAGAUACCCUGGUAGUCCACACCGUAAACGUUGGGCGCUAGGUGUGGGGUCCAUUCCACGGAUUCCGUGCCGCAGCUAACGCAUUAAGCGCCCCGCCUGGGGAGUACGGCCGCAAGGCUAAAACUCAAAGGAAUUGACGGGGGCCCGCACAAGCGGCGGAGCAUGCGGAUUAAUUCGAUGCAACGCGAAGAACCUUACCUGGGUUUGACAUACACCCUGCCGCUCCAGAGAUGGGGCUUCUUUUGGGGGUGUACAAGUGGUGCAUGGCUGUCGUCAGCUCGUGUCGUGAGAUGUUGGGUUAAGUCCCGCAACGAGCGCAACCCUCGUUCUAUGUUGCCAGCACGUAAUGGUGGGGACUCAUAGGAGACUGCCGGGGUCAACUCGGAGGAAGGUGGGGAUGACGUCAAGUCAUCAUGCCCCUUAUGUCCAGGGCUUCACGCAUGCUACAAUGGCCGGUACAAAGGGCUGCGAUCCCGUGAGGGGGAGCGAAUCCCAAAAAGCCGGUCUCAGUUCGGAUUGGGGUCUGCAACUCGACCCCAUGAAGUCGGAGUCGCUAGUAAUCGCAGAUCAGCAACGCUGCGGUGAAUACGUUCCCGGGCCU